GACAGAGGGUGCAAGCGUUGUUCGGAAUCAUUGGGCGUAAAGGGCGCGUAGGCGGUUUUGUAAGUCGAAUGUGAAAGCCCAGGGCUCAACCUUGGAAGUGCAUCCGAUACUGUGAAACUAGAAUCUCGGAGAGGGUGGUGGAAUUCCCAGUGUAGAGGUGAAAUGCGUAGAGAUCGUAAGGAAGACCAGUGGCGAAGGCGAGUUUCUGGACAGCUACUGACGCUGAGGCACGAAGGCCAGGGGAGCAAACGGG
rnacentral:rRNA from 1 species